GAAGAAUAAAAGCUUAUAUAUCAGAAGCCCCUGGAUAAGGGACUUGACUAACCUUGUGACUUUUUUUCUUUUUUUGGUACAGGGACAAGACACAGAGGUGCUUAACCACUGAGUCACAUAACCAGCCCUUUUUUAUAUCAAUUUUAUUUAUUUAUUUAUUUUUCGACACAGGGUCUCCCUAAGUUGCUCAGGGCCUCACUAAGUUGCUAACACUGGCUUUGAAUUUGAGACCCUCCGGUCAGCCUCCUGAGCCACUGGGAUUAUAGGCCUGUGCCCCCACACCCAGCUAACUGUGUGACUUUAACAUGUGCCGUGGCCCAUUGGAACUUAAGCUUCCUUAUCGAAUACUUCACCCUGCUGUGAGAUCAGAAUCCAUGUGUGGAAAGCACUGGCCACAGUGUCCAAUACCAUGGCUGCUAUUAUUAUGCUAAAUAGUACCAGCGACUUCAGAGGCCAGCAUGUCCAAUGGAUUGGAACCCACAUCCGGAGAGGGCAGGACUGUUUGCUAGGUCUGUUAGAAGUGCCGUCCCUGAGAUUUAACUUCUGGAUACAGUAAAGAAUUAAGCAGCUCAGGGGGGCACUCAGACCCCUUGUUCAUGAUAAAUAUACACUGUGCAGUGAAGAAGAAAUCCAUCCUAAAGGAAGAGCCGGCCUGCCUGCAACAGCCACUGGCAGAAAGAAUUAAGCCACUUCCCCAAACAUCAAGAGCCAACAGGAGAAACGAACCAAUUCAUGGCAAAAUUUUAUCCUAGUAGAAUAGCAAGAGACCACAGGCCUCCUUUUGUCAAUGCCUCUUCAAUUUAAAGAACUCACUGCAGCUCAUAAGAAUUGAAUUUGCUUAUUGAUUAAUCCAUACAGACACCACACUCCAUACCGUAGGAUCCCAUC
rnacentral:lncRNA from 1 species